GUGGGGAAUUUUGGACAAUGGGCGCAAGCCUGAUCCAGCCAUGCCGCGUGCAGGAUGAAGGCCUUCGGGUUGUAAACUGCUUUUGUACGGAACGAAAAGACUCCUUCUAAUAAAGGGGGUCCAUGACGGUACCGUAAGAAUAAGCACCGGCUAACUACGUGCCAGCAGCCGCGGUAAUACGUAGGGUGCGAGCGUUAAUCGGAAUUACUGGGCGUAAAGCGUGCGCAGGCGGUUAUGUAAGACAGAUGUGAAAUCCCCGGGCUCAACCUGGGAACUGCAUUUGUGACUGCAUAGCUAGAGUACGGCAGAGGGGGAUGGAAUUCCGCGUGUAGCAGUGAAAUGCGUAGAUAUGCGGAGGAACACCGAUGGCGAAGGCAAUCCCCUGGGCCUGUACUGACGCUCAUGCACGAAAGCGUGGGGAGCAAACAGGAUUAGAUACCCGGGUAGUCC
rnacentral:rRNA from 1 species